AGUCCGUUUAUUUUUUCCGGUUGCACGACCACCUCCUACCCCCUUCAGAUAGGGGACGACCUUCCUCUCCCAAGUCUAGAGAGUGGGUAUGUCCCUCUUCACUUCCAAGCAGGGUUGUGUGUAAAUAAGAAUGUUCUGUUUGGUAGCAGAUUUGUGCUAUGUGAGAGGGAUCCUUCUUGAUCUGCCUUUCUGGUGCUUGAAUGAUGAGAUUCGCAGGUUGUUGGGUUCAUAGGUGAUGAAUUUAUUCUGGGUUGAAGCCAUGCGUGCUUUUGAUGGUAUCGACCAGCAUUUUUUCUUUACUGUGUUGAAGCCAGGAGUGCUGACCUUGGAUCUAAUGGGUGUUUUGGUUUUAGUUUGGUGAGGUAACUGUUGAGGACCUUAUUGUUGCCACUCCUAUCGAUACCCAAUAUCUCAAGGCUGAACUAUGCAAGAGAUCUAUGCCUCAUCGUUCGUCAUUUCCCUUGACUUCAGCAGCCGUACUCGCUACCUUGGUUCUGAAUUUUUCUCUCGGCUGUUCUCACCAUCCAUGGAUAACGUGCUUAUUAGGAAUACCCACUAUAAUAUUUGGUGGCUGGUCGGUGGUUUUGCUAGGAACCUAGCCAUUCUAUUUCCAGUUGGGUCCAUGGGUUGGAAUGGGUUGUAGCCCUCGGCCUCUGUUUUGGAAUAGGCAGCCUUGAAUGGUUUUCAUACUUGGGUUUUGUUUGGAUCUUGUGUAAUUUUUACCUCAGCUUAGUGAGUGUGCCUGUAGUCCUUUCACUGGCCUUUUGGUCUCUUAUCUUGUAACAUGCUCAGGCCUUCUCACAAAUGAAAUUUGAUUUUUGACAA